CGCAGCCGGAGAUAUCGUUGAAAGGAAGUGCGCAUGUCCGAGUUGGGCUCGCCUGCGCCAUUUUGUAAGAAGUUCAGAUUCCCAUUUCAGGCUGGGCGAGCCGGGGAGAGCGGAGGGUGGAAAUCGAAGGAGGCCCUGUUGCUUCACAUUCAUUGUUGGUGUGACUCCAUGAUUAUGAGCAUACAUGCUGCUGAGUAACAAGGUUUUGGAAGGACUGAAAAAAAUGGAAACUCCCACAUCACCUCUGCCAGUGGCGAUCUGCAUGCCAUUGCAUCAAACCCAGCUUUGUCUUGAAUUCAAGAGGAACGUUGCGGCCUCCACCUUGAUGAAAGUUUGCUCAUUUGCCCCUGACUGAAUGCUCACGUCUUUCUUUGAUCUCUGAAUUGCUGCCGUCUGAUGGAUUUCAGACUGAUCACCUCAUAGGCAAUGCAAACAAUGGGCACAUUACACAGUUUGAGAAAUCUGGCAAUGGCCACGCCAACUGGACUGUGAACAUCCCAGUGGAUGAAGGAGAGAUGCCUGCUGAUGAGCGUAGGUGUAGGCCUCAACAGCAGAUGUGUCACAUGUAUUGUUUGACACUCUGCACAAACUAAACAGUUCAGCAGCUAAAUGCUUAACGAAAUUGAGAGCUCUUUGAAAUUCUCAAAACAACUUGCUGCUGCCAUCUUGACUUUGUUCUAAAAGAGUUACUUCUCACCGCUCCGUUGAUGCCAUUUUUUUUUUUUUUGCCUGUAUGUGUCAACUUUUUAAAUGUCAAAGAAUUGAAGGUGAGGGGUCCUAACCCUGCACGGUUCUUUUUGAUUUUUCUGAGAAUGUUAGAAAAAGACUUAAUUACUAAGAGUGUUAAAAAGGCAGAAAAGUGGCUGCGUAAACUGAGGGGAACAAACACGGUAGCUGUGAGCAGCCUGGCACUCCAGAGGAUGAUGAGGAGCACAGAUGUGAUGGCAGCUUCUGUUCUCUUAAUUUUGCCAGUGGAAUCCCACUGCAGUUGGUCUACACAAUGCCAAGUCAUGGACCCCCACUGGAUGAGUGCCGAACAAGGACUUUGGAGGGGAUCCUGUUUAGUGUUUUAACAAUGGCAUUUAGCCACAAUGGAAUUUCUCUUCUUGUGCAGAAAUGGUUAGCUCCAGGUAAGUUUUUCCAUAACUUGUACAAAAACACUGCAGAAAGAAUCAA